UACAGAGGUCUCAAGCGUUGUUCGGAUUCAUUGGGCGUAAAGCGCACGUAGGCGGACUAUUAAGUCAGGGGUGAAAUCCCGGGGCUCAACCCCGGAACUGCCUUUGAUACUGGUAGUCUCGAGUCCGGAAGAGGUGAGUGGAAUUCCGAGUGUAGAGGUGAAAUUCGUAGAUAUUCGGAGGGACACCAGUGGCGAAGGCGGCUCACUGGUCCGGUACUGACGCUGAGGUGCGAAAGCGUGGGGAGCAAACAGG
rnacentral:rRNA from 1 species